CACGCCGCCGCCACACUCCCCAUCGGGAUCCAAAACUAGCCUCCACCUUCUCCUCGUUUUCCCCUCCUGUCCAACCACCAUCGCCGCCCAAGUCCUGCAUCCUCUGCCCAUCGCUCCUCUCCUGUAGCCGCCCGAGCACCGGCCAGCUUGCUGGAGCAGACCACCGACGCCCGAGUCAAAUCCCCUCGCGCUACCUCCUUCUUUCCCUUCUUCUUACCCUGUCUCAUCCCUCUCUCUCUCCCUCCCAUUUCCUCUCGCAGGAGCUCGCCGUGGAGUUGGAACAGCGCCGCCGUCGAACUUAGUCCGCGGUCGCCUUUGACCGGAUCCAGUGAUGGCCGAGCUGAUCCACCCGUUUCGCCGCCCGCCGGACCUCCCCCCGGUCUGCUCCCGUCCAAGUCCGCCUUUGCUUGCCUGGCCGACGCCAAGUCCCUGAACCGUGCAGCGCCGCCGCCCUUGGAACUCCUCUGCCAUGGACGCCAGGUCCCAAGGUCUCCGUUGCCUCCGCUUCGAUCCGGCAGGAAACGAGUCCUGAAGGCUUCUCGCGCUUCGAUCCGGACGCCACCGAGCUCUUGCGCUGACCCCUCCUCAUCCUGCCGCUCGCCGGAGUCCUCAGCGCCGGCGUGCCUGUUGUUUGCUUCACCGAACCGGCCGCCAAGUCCCACGCCGCUGCUGCUCUUUUUCCUGUCGAGAAGAGGUGGACGCCACAUCUGCCCCGAGUCGUUCGAGCGACCGCGUUGACCUUUCCCCGACGGAACCAAGCAGGUUGGCCCAGCACGCCCCUGCCAGCCUCUCCCUCUCCAUAGAUCUGGGCCUGGCCCAUGGGUGAGGCACACCCCAGUGCCACUGUUACUAUCCACCUAUUGGGCCAGAUCUUAGAUGCGGCCCGAAUCUUGUUUUUUUCCCGUGGAACGAAUUUAGCUAUUAUUCCUGAGACGGUUGUUUUGCAGAAAAGUCCCUAGAGUUCAUGCA